ACAAGAGGUGUGAAGUUCUUCAUGUGGAUGCUUCCCGGCAAUGAUUCAUACCACUCAGGUUGGAAACAAAGUUGUUGGAAAGACUUGCCCUUAUGUUGUCCCAAAGAAGUAAUUUCCAGUGGUUUCUUUCUACUAACACACACAGAUCUCCAUCAACCCCUCCCCGAUUACUGAGAUUUUUUCCGGGGGGGGGGAGAGACUAUUGGUGGUCUCCCAUGGCUCAGAUGCACAGCUCAUGAUUACUAGAAGCUGUGCAGCCACUGUUGUGGGCCCGAGCCUGCAGAACUCCCAACUGAGACACCCUCCUUGCUGAAUUCAGGCACAUGACUUAAGACUUUCUUG